rnacentral:lncRNA from 1 species
AUCACAGGCAAGGCAGCCCAGUGCAGAUAAAGAGAAGAAGUUGAUUGAAGGGAAUCAACAUCAUACGUGUUUCUUAUUCCUACAGAUGCAUAAUCAAAUAUGUAAGUAAAAAUUGACAUUUCCUUUGAGAACUGCUUGGACAGUGACCUGAACAUCUCAAGAAAAACCUUGGUGGACUUGCAUGAACCUGAUUUGGGUCAAAAUUAAGCACCACGCUGAAAAUCAUGCCCUUGUGAAAUGACAAAUUGAAUGUGUUCAGAAAUUGCAUUUGAACUAGUUGAGAUCCUGAUACAGGACAUUCAGAAGGAGAAGGCAACGGGCCUUGGGAAGUGGGGAGAAAGGAUGACCUUGGUUCAGGACAUGCUUAGCAGUGCUGGAGGGACACCAGGGCCCAUGGACAAACCACACAUGCCAGUGUCCCCACUGUUAGGGAGGGGUCAUGUUGAUGGACUCUGACCAAUAGCGUGUGAUGACUUCUCUUCCUACACCUGUCAGCUGGGAGCUGAGAAUCCAAGGGGAAGCUUCUAAGGCUCCAGGAGGAUGAGCUUUUAGAUGGGAGGAGCCUGAGUCCCUGAGUGACUUGGUGGAGAACCUCCACCCCCUAAUCAGCUACACUGGAUGUGACACGAGUGAAAAAUAAACAUUGGGCAUGUUGCUUUUAUAGCAGCUAGCAUUCCUUACCCAGGCCCAU